rnacentral:rRNA from 1 species
GACGAACGCUGGCGGCGUGCUUAACACAUGCAAGUCGAACGGAAAGGCCCUGCUUUUGUGGGGUGCUCGAGUGGCGAACGGGUGAGUAACACGUGAGUAACCUGCCCUUGACUUUGGGAUAACUUCAGGAAACUGGGGCUAAUACCGGAUAGGAGCUCCUGCUGCAUGGUGGGGGUUGGAAAGUUUCGGCGGUUGGGGAUGGACUCGCGGCUUAUCCGCUUGUUGGUGGGGUAGUGGCUUACCAAGGCUUUGACGGGUAGCCGGCCUGAGAGGGUGACCGGCCACAUUGGGACUGAGGUACGGCCCAGAGUGCUACGGGAGGCAGCAGUGGGGAAUAUUGCACACUGGGCGGAAGCCUGAUGCAGCAACGCCGCGUGCGGGAUGACGGCCUUCGGGUUGUAAACCGCUUUCGCCUGUGACGAAGCGUGAGUGACGGUAAUGGGUAAAGAAGCACCGGCUAACUACGUG